AUGGGGAGGUCGCCGUGCUGCUGCCGCGACGCCGGCGUGAAGAAAGGGCCGUGGACGGAGGAGGAGGACAAGGCGCUGAUGGAGCACAUCCAGAAGCGCGGCGGGAACGUCGGCAGCUGGCGCAGCCUGCCCAAGGCUGCCGGGCUGAAUCGCUGCGGCAAGAGCUGCCGCCUCCGGUGGACCAACUACCUCCGCCCCGACAUCAAGCGCGGCAAUUUCACCGACGACGAAGAGCGCCUGAUCAUCACCCUCCAUGCCAGCCUCGGGAACAAGUGGUCGACGAUCGCGACGCACCUCGAGGGCCGGACGGACAACGAGAUCAAGAACUACUGGAACACGCACAUCCGCAAGAAGCUCAUGCGCAUGGGCGUCGACCCAUUGACGCACCAGCAGCUGCCACCCGACCAGAGCAACCACCACCUCAACGCCACCUCCAUCGCCCACCUCAACGUCACCCACCAGCAGAUGCCGCCCGACCGAAACGGCGCCGCUGCCGCGCUCCUCCCCGGGGCGCUCCUCUGGGCGGUGGCAGCCGCGAGCCUCGGCGGCCUAGACACCGGCGCCCUCAUGCAGGCGCAGCUUCUGCAGCAGCUGCUCCAAGCCAUCGGCUCUAACAACAGCACCACCGGCCUCAUAGCUAACCUGGCUGCAGCAAACACAGUGCUCAACUCAAGCAGCAGUAUCGUUCGGAACCAGAUGAACUACCUGCAGCCGGGUUAUCUCUGCAACACCUCCAAUUUUGCAGAGCAGCACGUGGUGCAGCAGCAGCUGACCAACGAUACGUCUCCAGGGACGAGCUUCUUUGCAGCAGCUGAACUGGCUGAUCAGCUCUGCAACACUGCCGCUUCAUAUGAUGUUGCAUCCGCGGGUGACUGGUCACCGGCGCAAGAGUUUGGCGGCUUGCUGGAGCCCAUGAUGGAGCUGCCCGGGUUGUGCUCUCUCGAGGGUGGCUGUUUCUGGAAGGACAUAUUGGAAGACAGCUACCGUUUAUAG
rnacentral:rRNA from 1 species